UACAGAGGCCUCGAGCGUUAGGCGGAAUCACUGGGCUUAAAGCGUGUGUAGGUGGAGUUCUAAGUACCUUGUGAAACCCCACGGCUCAACCGUGGAACUGCUGGGUAUACUGGUUCUCUUGAGGUACCUAGGGGCGAGCGGAACAAGUGGUGGAGCGGUGAAAUGCGUAGAUAUCACUUGGAACGCCAACGGUGAAAACAGCUCGCUGGGGGUAUCCUGACACUGAGACACGAAAGCCAGGGGAGCAAACGGG
rnacentral:rRNA from 1 species